AUUGGUACUCAAACAACGGCACUGAUCUUUCCAUAGUAAUUAGUAAGUGCUAUUUGUUGGGGUAGUUUGA
rnacentral:pre_miRNA from 1 species